GACGUAGGGCGCGAGCGUUGUCCGGAAUUACUGGGCGUAAAGCGCACGUAGGCGGCUUUGUAAGUUAGAGGUGAAAGCCCGGGGCUCAACUCCGGAAUUGCCUUUAAGACUGCAUCGCUAGAAUUGUGGAGAGGUAAGUGGAAUUCCGAGUGUAGAGGUGAAAUUCGUAGAUAUUCGGAAGAACACCAGUGGCGAAGGCGACUUACUGGACACAUAUUGACGCUGAGGUGCGAAAGCGUGGGGAGCAAACAGG
rnacentral:rRNA from 1 species